GAUGAACGCUGGCGGCGUGCUUAACACAUGCAAGUCGAACGGAAAGGCUCCUGCUUGCAGGGGUACUCGAGUGGCGAACGGGUGAGUAACACGUGGGUGAUCUGCCCUGCACUUCGGGAUAAGCUUGGGAAACUGGGUCUAAUACCGGAUAGGACCGCAUUUUGGAUGGUGUGGUGGAAAGUUUUUUCGGUGUGGGAUGAGCUCGCGGCCUAUCAGCUUGUUGGUGGGGUAAUGGCCUACCAAGGCGUCGACGGGUAGCCGGCCUGAGAGGGUGUACGGCCACAUUGGGACUGAGAUACGGCGCAGACUCCUACGGGAGGCAGCAGUGGGGAAUAUUGCACAAUGGGCGCAAGCCUGAUGCAGCGACGCCGCGUGGGGGAUGACGGCCUUCGGGUUGUAAACUCCUUUCGCUAGGGACGAAGAGUAAUUGACGGUACCUGGAGAAGAAGCACCGGCUAACUACGUG
rnacentral:rRNA from 1 species